rnacentral:tRNA from 2 species
UGGGAAUUAGCUCAGUUUGGUCAGAGCGCCUAGUUUGGGACUAGGAAGUCGCAGGUUCGAAUCCUGUAUUCCCGA